rnacentral:rRNA from 1 species
GCAGCAACGCGAGCCUGAUGCAGCCAUGCCGCGUGGAGGUAGAAGGCCCUCGGGUCGUGAACUUCUUUUCCCGGAGAAGAAGCAAUGACGGUAUCUGGGGAAUAAGCAUCGCCGAUCUCUGUGCCAGCAGCCGCGGUAAUACAGCAGACG